rnacentral:rRNA from 1 species
GACGAACCGUGCGAACGUUAUUCGGAAUCAUUGGGCUUAAAGGGCGCGUAGACGGAUGAUCGCGUCGAGUGCUGAAAUCCCCCGGCUCAACCGGGGAAUGGGCCUCGAAACGGGUCGUCUCAAGUGGAGGAGGGGGACCUGGAACUGCCGGUGGAGCGGUGAAAUGCGUUGAGAUCGGCAGGAACGCCAGCGGCGAAAGCGAGGUCCUGGACUCCCACUGACGUUGAGGCGCGAAAGCCAGGGGAGCGAACGGG